UCCAGACUCCUACGGGAGGCAGCAGUGGGGAAUAUUGGACAAUGGGGGGAACCCUGAUCCAGCGACGCCGCGUGAGUGAAGAAGUAUUUCGGUAUGUAAAGCUCUAUCAGCAGGGAAGAAAGAAAUGACGGUACCUGACUAAGAAGCCCCGGCUAACUACGUGCCAGCAGCCGCGGUAAUACGUAGGGGGCAAGCGUUAUCCGGAUUUACUGGGUGUAAAGGGAGCGCAGGCGGUUCUGCAAGUCUGAUGUGAAAGCCCGGGGCUCAACCGCGGGACUGCAUUGGAAACUGCGGGACUGGAGUGUCGGAGGGGUAAGCGGAAUUCCUGGUGUAGCGGUGAAAUGCGUAGAUAUCAGGAGGAACACCGGUGGCGAAGGCGGCUUACUGGACGAUGACUGACGCUGAGGCUCGAAAGCGUGGGGAGCCAACAGGAUUAGAUACCCCAGUA
rnacentral:rRNA from 1 species